CACACACACACACACACACACACACACACACACACACACUUAUUUGUAAUCUCUAGAUAGUGUUCACAUAUAAUUUGCCAAAGUCACAUUAGUCUUGUAAUUGGGUUUCAUGUCAAAUAUAGUUUCAGGAUUGUUGCGAUACAAGUUGUUACUGAGACUGCAGGUCUAUCAUUAUUAUAUUAAUCGUUAGCUCAACACAUUAUUAUUUCUAAUAUAGUAAUGAUUCUUAUUAUUAGAAAGGAUUCUGAUAGGGAAUAAAGGCUGUUAGACAUCCUCACCUUGCUGCUCUCCUCCUCUCCUCCUCCUGCUUUACUCUCUGCCUCCUCCUUCACCUCCUCAGCUUUGUUCACGCUGACAAAAACAACGCAAAGUUUGCACAGUGGUUUCUCACCAUGGAAAUAUGUGAACAUACAUACGUAGAAAUAUACACAAGUAUCAUAUUUAUACUCAUGUUUCUCUCCAUGCAGCACGAGAGCUACACGUGUGUGUGCGUGUUCUCCACCUGUCUGCUAGCUCCGCCCCCCCCUCUCCUCCUCCCUGCUCAGCAGUCAGAGCUGUGACGUCUGGCAUCCCAACUCUCUCCAGGAAACACAUCUCAGGAUCGGCUCGCAUGGCGUUGUAUCUCUCGUAGCCUGGUGAGCGACGCACACAUUAACACACACACACAAACCAUCACACACACUCACGCGGCACAGAUGAAAUAAUAACCUCACCGUGUUUGUGGACUCCAAUGAGGAGAGACUUGUCAGCUUCAGUAUCCCACCAAGCAGCUGGGAUCUCUAUGUAGUCGAUGUCUGGUAGAGACACCUCCAGUUUACUACACACACACACACACACACACACACACACACAGUUAAUAUGUCCCAUCAGAAGAAGCAUCAUCCAUCGAGCAAGGUGUCGUCACAAGACUUUACCUGGCAGGUAUUCCAUCCAGAGCUUGAUUGGCAGCUUCACCCAACACCUCCACCUUCAGGUAGUAUAGCAUCCUCACCCUCAGAAGCACCCUAAGAACAGACAGCGAUGGGGGGGUUUAUUCUACAUCAGGUAGAUCGCCUGCCAUUCAAAAAUAUAUAUUGUAUUAUAUUAUAUUUUCGGACACACGGGUCACCACGACCAUCGACCGCGGAAGUAAACAGAGGUUAGCGGUGCUAAUUAGCGAUCGCUGCUUCCUAACAAAUGUCAGCGAGCAGAAGGGGACGGAUGCUUCUGCAGCACUGACGAUCACGUCCUGACGCACAGAUGCGGUUUGAAGUGAUAACGGUAAAAGUAAUUGUUAAUUGUCACAAACAGAGACACUGGAAAGUCAACUUUCAAUGGUUGAAACUGGCUAGUAUAUAGUUCCAAUUCUAAUGGUAUGCCAGCAUAUAUGAUAAAUGUAAGGUAUACUCACUUUACAUAUAACACAUCAUUAGAUAUAUGGCAUUUUAUGUGUGGGUAGAUCGACAUGACUUUUGAGCUGAAAAGGUGUGGGCGGCCCUGGUCUACAUGGUAGCAGAGGACUUCCCACAGUUUGUGUCAUGUCUACUGACUUGUUGCAGUGCUGUUUCAGGUGCUUUUUGUAGCUCUCAUCCUGCAGCAACACAUCCGGGUUACAGUGGACCAGCCAGUCCGCGUUCUUCGCCUCAGGAACGUUUAGCUGGUUCUUCAUCUUCUUCCCCUUCCGACCGCGAGGCACCAGAGCCGAUAAGCCUGCAGCCCAAAAGACAAACUCAUAAAUAGAAAAGUAAACUACAUAAUACAACACAGCAUCAGGGUUCAUACACAUUUUGACCAAUGGAUGACUUUUCCAUGACUUCAAACUAAAUUUCCAUGACCAAAAACUGAGAAAUCUUGGUGUAUACACGAAACUAACAAAGUGAAUUCCAAGGCAUACACAGUGUUUCCCGUACCAAUCAAUUAGGUUUUUUUCACGUUUACAAUGAUCCACUAUGGAACCAUGCUAUGCUAGCCAUGCUAUCUUAACAAUGCUAUCUUUACCUUGCUACCUUAACGAUGCCACGUUAACAAUGCUAGGUUAACCAUGCUAUGGGAAACAUGCAGCGCUAACGAUGCUAUGCUAACGAUGCUACGCUAACGAUGCUACGAUUACGAUGCUACGUCAACCGCAGUAGCAGGGAGACCAUCACCGGAGUGGUUGAGCAGGUCCUGGUCCUCGCCCUCCUUGGUGGGUGUGAUCAGGUCCCAGAUGAAGCUCUUGAUCUUGUCAUCUCCUUUGUAGUGUCUCAGGCAGUAAACCAGCAGAGCCCUGAAUCACAAACCACAUCGAUCCUUCACACCAGGGACAGACAAAUGUCUCCCCUGGUCUAAGGAACUCGGCCUUCUUACCUGCAGAUCGCCUCCAUGUCUCUCUCUGUCAGGUGCCACUUAAAGCGCCCGUGGUUCAUAAUGUCCUUCCAGCGCCCCCACCUGGAAACACACGGGACAUCGGGAUGACAGGAAGAAGUGUUUGAGUGUGUUUGUGUGUGUGUGUGUGUGUGUGUGUGUGUGUGUGUGUGUGUGUGUGUGUGUGUGUGUGUGUGUGUGUGUGUGUGUGUGUGUGUGUGUGUGUGUGUCUCCGUACCCAAAGAUGAGCAGGUUCUUCUCCACCCUGAAGCACUCGGCCCUCAGGUACCGGCGGCUGCGCUCCCCCAGGCGACGGGUCCGACACGGCCGGUCCUCGGAGUCGCUAUCCAGCUCGGAGAACUCCAUCAACUCGUCGUCCUCGAAGGAGUUGUAGUGGCGGGUCUGCUUCCUCACGCGAGGGGUGUCAAUCACCAGGGACUCCUGCAGGAAGGGGGGGGGGGGGGGUAUAGAAUGAUAUAGAAUGUUAUAUUUAAUGCUAAAUAUACCAAACUGCAAACUUAUGAGGUGACGAUGGGAGGGGUUCUUUAGAAUUGUAUGUGUGGGUAUAGUAUAACGCAAUAUAUAAUGUUAAGUACAAUUGUAUCUAUAAUUUUCUAUAGUACAUUAUAUAACAAGAAGGAGGAGAAGAGCGAAGGACACUUCUCUCCUCCUUCUUUAUGUUGAAUUCUAUUUAUUCCUUCUGGUUUCUGUCCUUGGCUCCUCUUUCUUAGUCUCCUUUCGCCCUCUCCUCUUGUAAUUUGUUUGUGUCUCCUUUACUCUUCUGGUUCCUCCUUCCUCUCUUACCUUUUCAGAAUUGGAGUCUAGCUCCACCUCAGCAAUCUUGGCCCAUUUCUGCCAGAAGUUGGGGUCGUCCAGAGAAAUGUCGGUCCUGUUGCCAGAUGAGAUGAAACUGGCCUGAGGACACGACAGAAGAAAGAUGUUGAAAGUCACGACAACCUUCUCAGAUAGGAGACUGUGUCUCCGGGUCUCAGUUCUGUUUCAGGACUCGUACCUUGGCGAACGUAGACCCUUUCCCCUCCGUCUGGAUGGUGAUGGUCUGGGUUCGUCUCUGAAGGAUCUGAUCGAUGUCCUCCUCGCAGAACUUGGACCCCUCGUCCUCCUCGUCCAUCAGCGCUCCGUAAGCUCCUUUCUUCAGAAGGUCCUCCACCUCAAGUUUGGAGAGCUGCUGCACCUGAAGGAGACACAGCGGUUAGCUUUGGAGGAGAGUCCUCCUGGCCAUCCUGGUCCUCCUGGUUCUCCUGGUUCUGCUCACCCCGUUGAGGCUUCCCUUGCGGUUUAUGUCCUGGAGGACGGCCUUGUCCAGGCCCAGCUUCAGGCUGGCCUUGUCAAACAUCUCCCUCUCGUAGGAGUUCCUGGUGAUCAGUCUGUAGACCUUCACGGCUUUGCUUUGACCAAUCCGGUGACACCGCGCCUGAGCCUGAAGGGAGGAAACGUACCAUUAAUAUCACCAGGAAGAGUCCCCACAAUGCACUGGGGGGUAACUGAAGUCUGUGAUUCUUCAUCCUGAAAUCUCUGUGAAACAUCUGUAAGCAGCUGCAGUUUCAUAAUUAAUUAUUUGUGUAAAAUAUUUUCUUAUGUUACUAAUUUGGAAUAAACUGUUAAAUGCAGUAAUUCUCAUCUUAAUAUGAUCAACUGAGCUUUUACUAAACUCGUUUUGACCCUUGACAGGUCUGAAAUACAAUAUUAUAUACAUAUGUAUAUAUAAUAUACAUCGUUGGGUCGUUCUGACCUGCAGGUCGUUCUGGGGGUUCCAGUCCGAGUCGAAGAUGAUGCAUGUGUCGGCGGCUGUGAGGUUGAUGCCCAGCCCUCCGGCCCGGGUACACAGCAGGAAGACGAAGCGGUCAGAGUCCGGCUUGCAGAAGCGGUCAAUGGCGGCCUGGCGCAGGUUCCCCCUCACGCGACCGUCAAUGCGCUCGUAGGUGUACCUGCAGAGAAGGAGCCGUUAUUAAGGUCCAUCGUUACGAUGGUCUCCUUCCCGCCGGAGCUCACCUCCUCUGGAUCAGGUAGUCCUCCAUGAUGUCCAAGCAGCGGACCAUCUGGGAGAAGACCAGCACCUUGUGUCCACCUGCCAGCAGUUUGGGCAGCAGCUUGUCAAUCAAAACCAGCUUCCCGGCCGCCUGGAUCAUGGCCUGCAGCUGGAAGUCCAGCGCAUCGGGACUGUGGUACUUCCUGAAGCUCUCCAGGAUCUUCUCCUCCGCCCCUGAAGAAGGUCAUCAAGAGGAGAAGGAGGAGACAUGAGACGUUUCAGGAAUUAGGAAUCAGGAAACAUUUAUUGCCAAAAUAUGUCAUACAUACAAGGAAUUUGACUUUAAUAAAGUUAAAGAUAUUUAAAAAAUAAAGUGCACUAGUGAACAAGUGACAAAGUGACGAGUGAGAAAUGACAGUAAAGUGACGUGUGCAGUGAGAAGGAGAGUGACCGGUGGGAUGUUAUAGUCAGUCAGUGGGGGACCGGCUCUGUUGAUGAGCCCGACUGCCGACGGGAAGAAACUGUUGGUGUGGCGGGAGGUCUUAGUCCUGAUGGACCUCAGCCUCCUGCCAGAUGGAAGGGGCACUAACAGGUUUUGUCCGGGGUGAGAGGGGUCGGCCACGAUCUUUUUAGCUGCUUCAGAGACCUGGAAGCGAACAAGUCCUGCAGGGACGGCAGAUUGCAGCCGAUCAGCCUCUCUGCAGAGCGGAGGACACGCUGCAGCCUGCCCUUGUCCUUGGCUGUGGCUGCAGCGUACCAGACGGUGAUGGAGGAGCAGAGGAUGGACUCCGUGAUGGCCGUGUAGAAGUGGACCAUCAUCGUCUUUGGCAGGUUGAAUUUCUUCAGCUGCCUCAGGAAGAACAACCUCUGCUGAGCCUUCUUGGUGAUGGAGCUGAUGUUCAGCUCCCACUUGAGGUCCUGGGUGAUGAUGGAGCCCAGGAAACGGAAGGAAUCCACAAUAGUGACGGGGGAGUCACACAGGGUGAUGGGGGAGGGUGGGGCUCUGUUCCUCCUGAAAUCCACAACCAUCUCCACUGUCUUCAGGGCGUUGAGCUCCAGGUUGUUUUCAGAUCUUCAGUAUAGGUCGUAGUGAUGGGUAUCCAUACUGGUACUCCUAUUGGUUCUGUUCCUUAUCGAUUGGUGUGGGUACUUAUUAAUACUCUUAUUGGUUGUACUUAUUAGUUAUGUUGUUUUAUUAAACCUCCUCUAAUCAAUGAUGUCAGUGAUCAGGCUUCAUUGAUCUUCAUCAUGCUGCUCCACAAGAAGAUGUUUUUUACUUGUGAGGCUCUGAUCCACUUUUGUGGAACCAGCUUCCACUUCCGGGGGGGCAGACACAGUCAGCUCAUUGAAGGUAAAGACUUUCCUCUUUAUAGCACUUAUAGUUAGGGCUGGCUCAGGUUAAUCUGGACCAGCCCUUAGAUAAACUGCUAUAAACCUAGACGGCCCUUCUAUAACAAUUCACAUCUCAUUAAUCUCACUAAUUCAGCUUCUUCCCCAUCAUGGUUCUAUCUGAACCCUGUUCCUUCCAUCACUAUUAUUGAUGGUAUUAUAUUAACAAUACUGUCAUCAUAAACACAGCCCACUUUGCUUAUUUCCUGAAGUUUUUAUGUUUUCCCUCUGUUAAGAUCGCAGGGCCCUGUUCCUCGUACGUGGCUAACUUUGUUAGCCGGAUCACCUUCAGGAUGAGAUGACCUAGUUCAGGCUUUUCGGUUUCGCAAAGCUGGUUUGUCUAAAUCACCACAGCAACACAUCGAAAAUCUUGAACCUGCUCCGGUGCAGCUUCAUCUGAGCUGCUGGAUCAGUUCAUCACUCCUCCGGAAAAAAAGGGCAGCUCUCUUCCUCAUUGAUGAAGGAGCGACAUCAGUUAGAUGAACGUUUUAUAGGGAGAGACUUCUCUGAGAUCAAAGACCCGUUUAGCCGCCAUGACGUCCUGUACGAGCGCUGCAGACAUCUGUAGCGCUCGUACAUUUCCCCGUUACGUGAUAAACACCACACGCUGCAGCCGAGCGUCCACCGCAGACUGUCUCACUUACGGUCUCCCACUGUCUCUCAUACAAUGUCUAACACACUCUCUCAUGUCUCCCACACUGUCUCUCGUACUGUACAUGUCUGGGUGGCGCAGGAGUAGAGACGGAGCGCUGGGAACCGCAAGGUUGGUGGUCCGAGAAUGUAAAAAGCUGUGAGUUAAAAGCGUCAGCUAAAUGACCUGUAAUGUGAUGUACAGUGUUGCUAUGCAGAGAACAUCUGGAAAAGCUGCUCUUCGUAAAGUUCAGUUGGUUUAUUUGUUGCUUAAUAAACCUCUGGAUGUUCCACAUUUUCUGAAAGAGUUGAGAUCAUUAUUCUCUUUGGAUGAUGACGCUCUCCUUUAACUUUAUUUGACGUUAUACGGUUUUUAAAAAAUCCUGUUUUCGGUGAUCGACUCUUCCGCCUUCAGACGCAAGACGUGCACGAUGGUGGUUUUGUGUUAAGGUGGUUACAUCCCCUGGAUUACUACUCUCUGUAUUGUACAUAUUUUAGGUUCUGUACACAUGGCAUCCAUUGCAGUCUGUCCAUCCCUGUGGUCGGGCUCCUCCUCGGUCUCUACCUGAGGUUUCUCCCCAUCAAAGGGUUGUGAGGGUUUUUGGGACAGAGGAUGUCGCUGGUGUUCAAACUGUAGCGCCCGCUCAGGCAAAUUUGUAACUUGCAAUUUUGGGCUAAACAAAAUAAAAUGAAUUCAAAAUGGAAUUGAUCACAUUUGAGAGAACCAGUGUGUCGACUGGAGAAACAUCUUCUCUUUGCGGAGGCUCACCUGUAAUGAGGUACGGGUGGUUGCAGCACUUGCGGAGCUCCAUCAUGGUAUUGAUGAGGUUGGGCAUGUUGUGCUGGUUGGCUCCUUUGGACAGGAAGGAGAAGUUCUUCUCUAAGAUGGCUCGGUAAUACUUCUUCUGGAUGUUGGUCAGCUCCACCUGCGAGAUGUAGUGAACCCAUGAACCCACAGAUCUACAGCUCGCUCUUCCAGGUCCCCCACACCCAAGCUUCACACCGUCUCCACACAAAGGUCCAUCCUGAGCCUCCAUCCCAAGCUCCAAAGACAUGAACACAGACACUGGACUCCUUUAAGAUGGAACUAAAACCGUUUUGACUUUGUGUUAAAUCACUGUCAGCUAUUUCUUUUUUUAAUAUAGUUUGUUGUUAUUACCAUUACUGGCUCGGUGGCACUUUUUACAAAUAAAACAACACUAUUGUGUUUUGAUCACAUCCUCCACAAGAAAAUCAUCAAAGAACACCGAAACACAUCCGCGAGAAGAAUGAAUGAAAGACUCAGAGAACCGUUUACUUUGUAGGAUCUCACCUCGAUGAUGGUCUCCUCUUUAGGAGCCAGGUUCUUUUCUACAUCGUCCUUCAGCCUCCUCAACAUCAUGGGCUUCAGAAUGGCCUGCAGCUUUUUCACCUGGAGCAGAUGAGAUCAGAUGAGAGAGUGAGACACUCAGCUGCUCACAUCUCAUGGAAACACUCCUGUAAAGAGCUCCACCUGUCGACAUGAGUAUUCACCUGCUCGUCUGUUUUCAGGUCUCCGAACUCUUCCAGGAAAGUGCUCUCUGAAGGAAACUGCAGCGGCUCCAGGAAGUUCAGCAGGCUGAACAACUCCUCCACGGAGUUCUGGAGAGGGGUUCCUGUCAGAAGAACCUUGUGUUCCUGUGGGAGACAGAACGUAGAACCCGUUGCUUCUCAUUAACUGAGAACAUGAGGUUUAUUCAAACAAAACAGCCUCUUCCCCUACUGACCAGGUUCAUAAGCUUCAGCCCUUCCAGCAGUUUGCAGUUCCUGUUCUUCAGGGCGGUGAGCUUCGUCGAUGACCACGCAGCGCCAGUGGAGCUUCCUGAGCUCGGGACAGUCGGCCCAUGAUCAUCUCGAAGGUGGUGAUGAGUCCGUGGAACUUGAGCACCCCGGGGAUAGUGUUUCCCUGAGAUGGUCAUAUUUAUACAGGAUAUAUCAUUACAAUUCUUCAGCACCCCGUCCCUCCUACAGAACCACGUCCCUCCUUCAGAACCACGUCCCUCCUACAGAACCACGUCCCUCCUACAGAACCCCGUCCCUCCUACAGAACCCCAUCCCUCCUACAGAACCCCGCCCCCUUUAGAACCCUACCUGCACGUCUCUGUAGAACAUCUCGUACUGAUGGAUCAUCUGCCGGCUGAUCUGGGAUCCGUGGUAAACAAUGACGUUCAUGGGGGUCCAGGUACGGAACUCCCUCUCCCAGUUUGUGAUGGUGGACAGGGGGGCGAUGAUGAGGAAGGGGCCGCGGAUCCCCAUGCUGAAGAUCUCAAACAGAAAGGUGAUGGACUGGAUCGUUUUUCCUAGACCCAUCUCAUCCGCCAGUAUGCAGUUCUUCCUGGAGGGGAGACGGAGACAGAGUCUUUAACCAGAAGACGGGUGGAGACACAGCUGGUCACACAACACAAAGAGAAGCAACGGUACAAACUCACAUGCACUAAAAAGCACGCUCACGUGCACUAGCAUGCAUCAAAAGGCCAUGUGGUGCAUUCAUUUAAAUAUCAGAUUAUUUGUGGAACUGAUGUGUAGAUUUUAGAUUCAUUUUAUAAUUAGUUCCCCAUAAUAACUAAAUGUAAACUAAUGUGUGUGCGAGAGCAGCACUCACCGGUUGUACCAGUUGAAGAGUAACCAGUUCAUUCCCUCUAACUGGUACUCUCUGAGCUGGUUCCCAUUUCUGAAAUCUCUGGUGUUGUUCAGCUUCUGCCACUUCUCUGGAGGAGGACGAUCCUGCAACGCAAGCACGUGGAAACCUUUUAUCAGAUAUGAGGAGCGGGCAAACCAUCAGACUGUAGAGCUCCUGGAUUCUUUGGGUUCCAUCACAAAGGAGAUUAAAUAGCUGUAGAGUAUUAGAUUCGAUUAUUAAGGCUUCCCUUCCCCACUGGACCACGAGGAGACACCUGAAGAGGUUUUAAGGGAAAACAGUAGAGAACCCAAAGACGUUGUCGCUGUUUCCCUUGGGAUGUUUUCGUCACUUGAUGCAAUAGCUAUCUAUUUAUCCCGCAUCUUCUCAACAGUUCUAUCAGGUCAGUUGAUGUGUUGAGGCGUUUUAGCAGCUGGUUCUCCUGCUGGAGGAGCAACCCAGUCACAACUCAGUGUUGAGAAAGAAACCCAGAUGUUUUAUUCCGUAGUUUUCAGCUUGUUCUGGUUCCACUCACCAUGUGUCUGAGGUCUGCUGGCAGUUUCUGGAUGUGCUCAAACUCUUUGAUCUUCUCUGAAUCCAGGUCCUCCUGCAGCUCCCAGGUAGCCUCCUCGUAUGAGAGACUGCACCACUUCACCAGGUAGUGGGUGACCUCCUACAACAGCCCGCACAACACAUCCCACAGCGUUAGCAGAUGUUAGCUGGAGGUAGCGGAUGUAAGCACCAGGUGUUACCAGCUGUUACCAGGUGUUACCAGGUGUUACCUGGUCACCUUUGUGUUAUGUAAAGUUACCUGCUGUCAUCACAGCUGAUUUUGUGUGCUACCCACCUCUCCAGUCUCAGUGUCCGUGGUGACAGCCACCUCCAAGAUUCGGUCCACUUCCACAUAGUCCGGAUUAAAGAUGUCCUCAUCGGGCUGGAAGACGGGACAGAAAGACAACAAGACGAUGUUGAUUGAUUGAUUCCUCAUAGUGGAUCAAGUCAGAUAACAAUUUUAUAGAAUACAAAAUAAGCAAAAAACACCAGCGAUCAUUAAUGAAAUGUGUUCUUUAUUCUAACAGUGAUAUUUAUUUUGGUUUCUCCAUAUUGUUAUUGAGCCACUGUCAUUUAUUUGUGUUUGUGACUUGACUAGAGGAAGAGGGGGCUGUUGCACAAAAGUAGAAAACAGAAAUCCAGGAUUAGUGAAAAGCAGCUUGACUUAGUUUGAUCUUAAUCAGUUGCACGUUUGCCGAGUCGGGAUGAGGAGGAGGAGCUUAGUCCAUCCAGGUGCACACAGCUGGGAUCCGUGCACGUUCACGGCUUAAGUAGACCACGGCGUCCAUCACAGAGCUACUGAUGCACAGAUGGAGAAGACGCGCGCGGCAUAUUUGUCACCUGCUGAGCAGCAACUAAUUAUGGAAACUUCUGAGGAGGUGAAGCCUCUAAUAUGCAGAAAAGGGAAACCGGCAACUGUAAUUAAACAGAGAAAAGUCUGGCAGACAAUCGCUGACCGACUGAAUGCGGAAGGGUUUUAGUGCUGUUUGUGUGCUGGUGUCUUUAAGUAGCCUACAUGGAAUAUUCCUCUGGAAAUUUCUAAAAAAAGUUGAAAAAAAAGUCGAAAAAGUCUAGCUAGUAUUGAUACUUUCAGGUGUUGCUCUAUCUGCUGUAGUGAAACACUGAAGAACAAGAACACACUUUCCACAUUCGUUCUGAGCUUUGAUGAAGACAAAAGGGGUUGACAUGAUGGUUAUCCAUCAAGGAGUUGCCUUGGUUACGGCAGGUGAGAGUUACUGUGGGCUUUACAGACUGCAUUGGG
ensembl:lncRNA